UUGUACAGCGUGGAAUUGAAAUAUGUGUCAUCUUGCCAUAACAUCCACUUAUCUUAGUGUUUGAUGAGUCAGAGUGUCAACAUCUAAUGAGAGUGAACAGUUUCUACUAGAUUAUUCACCAUCGUUCCUUUUUUCACGUUUCAUCUCUUUGCCCUCUUCAGCUGCACGUACGUUUUAGUUCACCAGUCGCCAUGACAACCAGCGUGCUGCCGUGCUGUUGCCCGGCAACUUGUCACCAGUAGCCGUGGUUUUGAGUGGCUGAGUGGGACUGAGAAGUCUCCAUAAAGGCAGCCGGUGCAGGGUGUACAGCUAAUGGGCCCAGACUGUGGCUUGUUAGGGCAGGUUUGGCCAAACAGAAGCUAAUUUGGCUGAAAGAGAUCAAGAAGAAGGAGAAGAAGGACACUUACUUUUCUUGGCAGUGUUCCAAGGCAUGGUCUGAAAUCUGCUUCAGGUUGAUCAGCUUAUCUCCUCGGAUGCUACACUGAGCGUCCACGAUCCUCUCAGCCAGAGACUCGGAAGAAAACCCUGCAAACUGAAGCACGAACAGUGUGACACAGUGAACAGCAAGGCAAUAGAAAAGCACACUUUUGUCAGCAUUCAGUGUAUACGAACCUGCUGCAAAUGACAGAUUCUGGUGCAUACAUACCACAAUCGAAUGCACUGCCCCUAUUCGAGCACAGGCCAGCAUGGUGAACACAAGCUCGGGGAUCAUAG